UGAUGGCCUACCAAGGCGACGACGGGUAGCCGGCCUGAGAGGGCGACCGGCCACACUGGGACUGAGACACGGCCCAGACUCCUACGGGAGGCAGCAGUGGGGAAUAUUGCACAAUGGGCGAAAGCUUGAUGCAGCGACGCCGCGUGAGGGAUGAAGGCCUUCGGGUUGUAAACCUCUUUCAGCAGGGAAGAAGCGCAAGUGACGGUACCUGCAGAAGAAGCGCCGGCUAACUACGUGCCAGCAGCCGCGGUAAUACGUAGGGCGCAAGCGUUGUCCGGAAUUAUUGGGCGUAAAGAGCUCGUAGGCGGUUUGUCGCGUCUGCUGUGAAAACCUAAGGCUCAACCUUGGGCUUGCAGUGGGUACGGGCAGACUAGAGUGCGGUAGGGGUGACUGGAAUUCCUGGUGUAGCGGUGGAAUGCGCAGAUAUCAGGAGGAACACCGAUGGCGAAGGCAGGUCACUGGGCCGCAACUGACGCUGAGGAGCGAAAGCAUGGGGAGCGAACAGGAUUAGAUACCCUGGUAGUCCAUGCCGUAAACGUUGGGCACUAGGUGUGGGGCUCAUUCCACGAGUUCCGUGCCGCAGCAAACGCAUUAAGUG
rnacentral:rRNA from 1 species